GCCCGGGUAGCUCAAUCGGUAGAGCGUGUGGCUCUUAUGCCUCAAAGCAUUGAAACCUCAAGGUCGCGAGUUCGAGCCUCGCCUCGGGCU